rnacentral:misc_RNA from 1 species
GCUGUUCCCAGACAGC